rnacentral:rRNA from 1 species
UUUCUCGGCAUGACAUUUCAAACCCCACCUGUGUAACUUACCUGUUGCUUCCGUGCCGCACAUGCCGUCAAGGGUGUGCCCUCCCGGUCUUGGGUACCGCGAGUACCUUGCGGACCCUGGGCGGGGGGAGCUGGCACGGAAGGUCGACCGUAAACUCCUGCCCUCGAAUGCUUUCUGUCUGAACUGUACCGCACGAAAAGUUAAAACUUUCAACAACGGAUCUCUUGGUUCUCACAUCGAUGAAGAACGCAGCGAAAUGCGAUAAGUAGUGUGAAUUGCAGAAUUCCGUGAAUCAUCGAAUCUUUGAACGCACAUUGCGCCUCUCGGCAUUCCGGGAGGCAUGCCUGUUCGAGCGUCACCGAAAUCAACUCAAGCACUUCUGCGCAUGGUCGUGGAGGAAGAGUCCGCCCCGUGGUGGGUGGUCUCCCCUCCCAAAAUCAACGGCGGAAAGUCACUGGAACUCCUCGGCGUAGUAGCAUCGUUCGCCGGUUAUCCAGAGUCUCUCCUGCCGUUCAACCCCCAGAAUUCUCUCGAUUGACCUCGGAUCAGGUAGGGAUACCCGCUGAACUUAAGCAUAUCAAUAAGCGGAGGAAAAGAAACCAACAGGGAUUGCCUUAGUAACUGCGAGUGAAGCGGCAAAAGCUCAAAUUUGAAAUCGGUGUCUACCAAUCGCAUCGAGUUGUAAUUUGGAGGGGCAACUUCGGGCUGAACCACAUCGUAAGUUCCUUGGAACAGGACGUCAUGGAGGGUGAGAAUCCCGUGUCUCGAUGUCGGGUCAAACCAUGUGAAGUGUCUCCGACGAGUCGAGCUG